UACGGGGGGAGCAAGCGUUGUUCGGAAUUACUGGGCGUAAAGGGCUCGUAGGUGGCCAACUCAGUCGGACGUGAAAUCCCUCGGCUUAACCGGGGAACUGCGUCCGAUACUGGAUGGCUUGAGAUCGGGAGAGGGAUGCGGAAUUCCAGGUGUAGCGGUGAAAUGCGUAGAUAUCUGGAGGAACACCGGUGGCGAAGGCGGCAUCCUGGACCGACACUGACACUGAGGAGCGAAAGCCAGGGGAGCAAACGGG
rnacentral:rRNA from 1 species